GAUGAACGCUGGCGGCGUGCUUAACACAUGCAAGUCGAGCGAUAAGUUUUGAAGAGUUUCUUCGGAUGAAAUUUAACAAGGAAAGCGGCGGACGGGUGAGUACCGCGUAGGCAACCUGCGCUAUACAAUGGGAUAGCAUUUGGAAACGACAUUUAAUAGCUUAUGAAACUUAACUAGAGCAUGCUAGGUAGGUCCAAGAUUUAUCGGUAUGGGAUGGGCCUGCUUCUGAUUAGCUAGUUGGUGAGGUAACGGCUCACCAAAGGGACGAUCAGUAGCCGACCAGUGAGGCUGAACGGCGACAUUUGAACGGAGACGCAGUCCAGACUCCUACGGGAUGCAGCAGAGUGGAAUAUUGCACAAUGGGGUAAAUCAUGAUGGAGCAACGCCGCGUGAACUAUGAAGGCAGUGGGGACGGAAAGUUCUGGUCGAGGGUACAAAAACUGACAGUAACCUAGGAGAAAGCCCCGGCUAACUCCGUG
rnacentral:rRNA from 1 species